GACGAACGCUGGCGGCGUGCCUAAUACAUGCAAGUUGAGCGCUGAAGGUUGGUACUUGUACCAACUGGAUGAGCAGCGAACGGGUGAGUAACGCGUGGGGAAUCUGCCUUUGAGCGGGGGACAACAUUUGGAAACGAAUGCUAAUACCGCAUAAAAACUUUAAACACAAGUUUUAAGUUUGAAAGAUGCAAUUGCAUCACUCAAAGAUGAUCCCGCGUUGUAUUAGCUAGUUGGUGAGGUAAAGGCUCACCAAGGCGAUGAUACAUAGCCGACCUGAGAGGGUGAUCGGCCAAAUUGGGACUGAGAAACGGCCCAAACUCCUACGGGAGGCAGCAGUAGGGAAUCUUCGGACAUGGACGAAAGUCUGAACGAGCAAAGCCGCGUGAGUGAAGAAGGCUUUCGGAUCGUAAAACUCUGUUGGUAGAGAAGAACGUUGGUGAGAGUGGAAAGCUCAUCAAGUGACGGUAACUACACAGAAAGGGACGGCUAACUACGUG
rnacentral:rRNA from 1 species